CGAGUUUGAUCCUGGCUCAGGACGAACGCUGGCGGCGUGCUUAACACAUGCAAGUCGAACGGAAAGGCCCCUUCGGGGGUGCUCGAGUGGCGAACGGGUGAGUAACACGUGGGUGAUCUGCCCUGCACUUUGGGAUAAGCCUGGGAAACUGGGUCUAAUACCGAAUACACCUUCCUGGUUGCAUGGCUGGGUGGGGAAUGCUUUUGCGGUGUGGGAUGGGCCCGCGGCCUAUCAGCUUGUUGGUGGGGUGAUGGCCUACCAAGGCGACGACGGGUAGCCGGCCUGAGAGGGUGUCCGGCCACACUGGGACUGAGAUACGGCCCAGACUCCUACGGGAGGCAGCAGUGGGGAAUAUUGCACAAUGGGCGCAAGCCUGAUGCAGCGACGCCGCGUGAGGGAUGACGGCCUUCGGUUGUAACC
rnacentral:rRNA from 1 species